rnacentral:rRNA from 1 species
AUGCCGAGAGGUAAAAGCUUUAGUGCCUGUAGAUGAGCUCGCGUCCGAUUAGCUAGUUGGUAAGGUAAGAGCUUACCAAGGCGACGAUCGGUAGCUGGUCUGAGAGGAUGAUCAGCCACACUGGGACUGAGACACGGCCCAGACUCCUACGGGAGGCAGCAGUGGGGAAUUUUCCGCAAUGGGCGAAAGCCUGACGGAGCAAUACCGCGUGCGGGACGAAGGCUUUUGGGUCGUAAACCGCUUUUGUUAGGGAAGAACACAAUGACGGUACCUAACGAAUCAGCAUCGGCUAACUCCGUGCCAGCAGCCGCGGUAAUACGGGGGAUGCAAGCGUUAUCCGGAGUUAUUGGGCGUAAAGCGUCCGCAGGUGGUUUAUCAAGUCUGCUGUUAAAUAGUGGGGCUUAACCCCAUAAAGGCAGUGGAAACUGAGAGACUAGAGUACGGUAGGGGUAGCGGGAAUUCCCAGUGUAGCGGUGAAAU